UACGAAGGGGGCUAGCGUUGCUCGGAAUUACUGGGCGUAAAGCGCACGUAGGCGGCUUUCUAAGUCGGGGGGUGAAAUCCUGGAGCUCAACUCCAGAACUGCCUCGAUACUGGAGAGCUUGAGUCCGGGGAGAGGUGAGUGGAACUGCGAGUGUAGAGGUGAAAUUCGUAGAUAUUCGCAAGAACACCAGUGGCGAAGGCGGCUCACUGGCCCCGAUACUGACGCUGAGGCACGAAAAGCGUGGGGGAGCAAACAGG
rnacentral:rRNA from 1 species